rnacentral:rRNA from 1 species
AGAUUGAACGCUGGCGGCAGGCCUAACACAUGCAAGUCGAACGGUAACAGGAAGCAGCUUGCUGCUUCGCUGACGAGUGGCGGACGGGUGAGUAAUGUCUGGGAAACUGCCUGAUGGAGGGGGAUAACUACUGGAAACGGUAGCUAAUACCGCAUAAUGUCGCAGGACCAAAGAGGGGGACCUUCGGGCCUCUUGCCAUCAGAUGUGCCCAGAUGGGAUUAGCUUGUUGGUGAGGUAACGGCUCACCAAGGCGACGAUCCCUAGCUGGUCUGAGAGGAUGACCAGCCACACUGGAACUGAGACACGGUCCAGACUCCUACGGGAGGCAGCAGUGGGGAAUAUUGCACAAUGGGCGCAAGCCUGAUGCAGCCAUGCCGCGUGUAUGAAGAAGGCCUUCGGGUUGUAAAGUACUUUCAGCGGGGAGGAAGGGGAUAAGGCUAAUAACCUUGUUCAUUGACGUUACCCGCAGAAGAAGCACCGGCUAACUCCGUGCCAGCAGCCGCGGUAAUACGGAGGGUGCAAGCGUUAAUCG